UACAGAGGGGGCAAGCGUUGUUCGGAAUUACUGGGCGUAAAGGGCGCGUAGGCGGCCUACUAAGUCGAACGUGAAAUCCCUGGGCUCAACCCAGGAACUGCGUCCGAUACUGGUUGGCUUGAAUCCGGGAGAGGGAUGUGGAAUUCCAGGUGUAGCGGUGAAAUGCGUAGAUAUCUGGAGGAACACCGGUGGCGAAGGCGACAUCCUGGACCGGUAUUGACGCUGAGGCGCGAAAGCCAGGGGAGCAAACGGG
rnacentral:rRNA from 1 species